rnacentral:rRNA from 1 species
GACGAACGCUGGCGGCGUGCUUAACACAUGCAAGUCGAACGCUGAAGACCUGGCUUUUGUUGGGUUGGAUGAGUGGCGAACGGGUGAGUAACACGUGAGUAACCUGCCCUCUUCUUUGGGAUAACGCCCGGAAACGGGUGCUAAUACUGGAUAUUCACUGAUCUUCGCAUGGGGGUUGGUGGAAAGGUUUGUUCUGGUGGGGGAUGGGCUCGCGGCCUAUCAGCUUGUUGGUGGGGUGAUGGCCUACCAAGGCUUUGACGGGUAGCCGGCCUGAGAGGGUGACCGGUCACAUUGGGACUGAGAUACGGCCCAGACUCCUACGGGAGGCAGCAGUGGGGAAUAUUGCACAAUGGGCGAAAGCCUGAUGCAGCGACGCCGCGUGAGGGAUGGAGGCCUUCGGGUUGUAAACCUCUUUCGCCCAUGGUCAAGCCGCAACUGUGGGUUGUGGUGAGGGUAGUGGGUAAAGAAGCGCCGGCUAACUACGUG